rnacentral:rRNA from 1 species
UGGCUGUCGUCAGCUCGUGUCGUGAGAUGUUGGGUUAAGUCCGUAACGAGCGCAACCCUUGUCCUUAGUUACCAGCACGGUUAUGGUGGGCACUCUAAGGAGACUGCCGGUGACAAACCGGAGGAAGGUGGGGGAUGACGUCAAGUCAUCAUGGCCCUUACGGCCUGGGCUACACACGUGCUACAAUGGUCGGUACAAAGGGUUGCCAAGCCGCGAGGUGGAGCUAAUCCCAUAAAACCGAUCGUAGUCCGGAUCGCAGUCUGCAACUCGACUGCGUGAAGUCGGAAUCGCUAGUAAUCGUGAAUCAGAAUGUCACGGUGAAUACGUUCCCGGGCCUU